GAUGAACGCUGGCGGCGUGCCUAAUACAUGCAAGUCGAGCGAACGGACGAGAAGCUUGCUUCUCUGAUGUUAGCGGCGGACGGGUGAGCAACACGUGGAUAACCUACCUAUAAGACUGGGAUAACUUCGGGAAACCGGAGCUAAUACCGGAUAAUAUUUUGAACCGCAUGGUUCAAAAGUGAAAGACGGUCUUGCUGUCACUUAUAGAUGGAUCCGCGCUGCAUUAGCUAGUUGGUAAGGUAACGGCUUACCAAGGCAACGAUGCAUAGCCGACCUGAGAGGGUGAUCGGCCACACUGGAACUGAGACACGGUCCAGACUCCUACGGGAGGCAGCAGUAGGGAAUCUUCCGCAAUGGGCGAAAGCCUGACGGUGCAACGCCGCGUGAGUGAUGAAGGUCUUCGGAUCGUAAAACUCUGUUAUUAGGGAAGAACAUAUGUGUAAGUAACUGUGCACAUCUUGACGGUACCUAAUCAGAAAGCCACGGCUAACUACGUG
rnacentral:rRNA from 1 species